rnacentral:sRNA from 1 species
GCCAGGCGUGGUGGCGUGUGCCUGUAGUCCCAGCUACUAGGGAGGCUGAGGCAGGAGAAUCACUUGAACCCAGGAGGUGAAGGUUGCAGUGAGCCGAGAUCGUGCCACUGCACUCCAGCCUGAGUGACAGAGUGAGACUCUGUCUCAA